rnacentral:rRNA from 1 species
GACGAACGCUGGCGGCGUGCUUAACACAUGCAAGUCGAACGGAAAGGCCCUGCUUUUGUGGGGUGCUCGAGUGGCGAACGGGUGAGUAACACGUGAGUAACCUGCCCUUGACUUUGGGAUAACUUCAGGAAACUGGGGCUAAUACCGCAUAGGAGCUCCUGCUGCAUGGUGUUGGUUGGAAAGUUUCGGUUGCUGGGCUUGGACUCGCGGCUUCUCUGCUUGUUGGUGGGGUAGUGGCUUACCCAGGCGUUGACGGAUAGCCGGCUGGAGGGGGUGAUCGGCCACACUGGGACGGAGAGAGGGCCCAGGUGACUACGGGAGGCAGCAGUAGGGAAUCUGAGGGAAUGGACGGAAGUGUGACCGGGCAACGCCGCGUGAGUGAAGAAGGUGUUCGGAUAGUAAAGAGCUGUUGUAAGAGAAGAAAGAGUGUGAGAGUGGAAAGUUCACACUGUGACGGUAUCUUACCAGAAAGGGACGGCUAACUACGUG